GAAAAGAACUUUGAAAAGAGAGUUAAAUAGUACGUGAAAUUGUUGAAAGGGAAACGAUUGAAGUCAGUCGUACUGGCGAAAAAUCAACUACUCGAGUGAGUACUUGUGGGCGUACGUGAGCUUCACGGCCGCGUUGUUUGCAAUGUUCGUGCUCUUGUGGUGUACUUUUUCGUGUGGUAGGUCAAUGUCGGUUUUGGACGCCAUAAAAUGAUCGGAGGAAUGUAGCUUCGACCUCGGUUGAAGUGUUAUAGCCUUUGGUAGAUGUGACGUUCGGGACCGAGGAUUGCAACGGAUGCUCAAACGGGCUAUCCGCCUGGUCUCUGAUGGUUAGCUGGGUGCCGAAAGCAUGCUUACGGUUAUCCAAGUUGACUGUCAAUAGAUUAGAACGUGAUUACAUUCG
rnacentral:rRNA from 1 species